GAGCUUGCUCUCCGGAUCAGUUUUCGAACGGGUGAGUAACACGUGGGCAACCUGCCCCUGACUUUGGGAUAACUCCUCGAAAGAGGGGCUAAUACCGGAUACGACCACUGGCGGCAUCGCCUGGUGGUGGAAAGCUCCGGCGGUCAGGAUGGGCCCGCGGCUAUCAGCUUGUUGGAGGGGUAACGGCCCACCAAGGCGACGACGGGUAGCCGGCCUGAGAGGGCGACCGGCCACACUGGGACUGAGACACGGCCCAGACUCCUACGGGAGGCAGCAGUGGGGAAUAUUGGUCAAUGGGCGCAAGCCUGAACCAGCAACGCCGCGUGAGGGAUGAAGGCCUUCGGGUUGUAAACCUCUUUCAGCAGGGACGAAGCGAAAGUGACGGUACCUGCAGAAGAAGCACCGGCUAACUAUGUGCCAGCAGCCGCGGUAAUACAUAGGGUGCAAGCGUUGUCCGGAAUUAUUGGGCGUAAAGAGCUCGUAGGUGGUCGAUCACGUCGGAUGUGAAAAUCUGAGGCUUAACCUCAGACCUGCAUUCGAUACGGGUUGACUGGAGUGUGGUAGGGGAGACUGGAAUUCCUGGUGUAGCGGUGGAAUGCGCAGAUAUCAGGAGGAACACCGAUGGCGAAGGCAGGUCUCUGGGCAUUUACUGACACUGAGGAGCGAAAGCGUGGGGAGCGAACAGGAUUAGAUACCCUGGUAGUCCACGCCGUAAACGAUGUCAACUAACCGUUGGGUUCUUUAAGAACUUAGUGGUGGAGCUAACGUAUUAAGUUGACCGCCUGGGGAGUACGGCCGCAAGGCUAAAACUCAAUGAAUUGACGGGGGCCCGCACAACCGGUGGAGCAUGUGGUUUAAUUCGAUGCACGCGAAGAACCUUACCUACCUUGACAUGUAGCGAAUCCUUUAGAGAUAGAGGAGUGCCCUUCGGGAACGCUAACCGGGUGGUGCUGCUGUUGUCGGCUCGUGUCGUGAGAAUUUUGGUUAAGUCCCGUAACGAGGCCAACCCUUAC
rnacentral:rRNA from 1 species